rnacentral:rRNA from 1 species
AACAGGAUUAGAUACCCUGGUAGUCCACGCCGUAAACGAUGUCGACUUGGAGGUUGUGCCCUUGAGGCGUGGCUUCCGGAGCUAACGCGUUAAGUCGACCGCCUGGGGAGUACGGCCGCAAGGUUAAAACUCAAAUGAAUUGACGGGGGCCCGCACAAGCGGUGGAGCAUGUGGUUUAAUUCGAUGCAACGCGAAGAACCUUACCUACUCUUGACAUCCAGAGAACUUAGCAGAGAUGCUUUGGUGCCUUCGGGAACUCUGAGACAGGUGCUGCAUGGCUGUCGUCAGCUCGUGUUGUGAAAUGUUGGGUUAAGUCCCGCAACGAGCGCAACCCUUAUCCUUUGUUGCCAGCGGUUCGGCCGGGAACUCAAAGGAGACUGCCAGUGAUAAACUGGAGGAAGGUGGGGAUGACGUCAAGUCAUCAUGGCCCUUACGAGUAGGGCUACACACGUGCUACAAUGGCAUAUACAAAGAGAAGCGACCUCGCGAGAGCAAGCGGACCUCAUAAAGUAUGUCGUAGUCCGGAUUGGAGUCUGCAACUCGACUCCAUGAAGUCGGAAUCGCUAGUAAUCGUGGAUCAGAAUGCCACGGUGAAUACGUUCCCGGGCCUUGUACACACCGCCCGUCACACCAUGGGAGUGGGUCGCAAAAGAAGUAGGUAGCUUAACCUUCGGGAGGGCGCUUACCACUUUGUGAUUCAUGACUGGGGUGAAGUCGUAACAAGGUAACC